rnacentral:rRNA from 1 species
UACGUAGGGGGCAAGCGUUGUCCGGAUUUAUUGGGCGUAAAGAGCGUGUAGGCGGCCAGACAGGUCCGUUGUGAAAACUGGAGGCUCAACCUCCAGACGUCGAUGGAAACCGUCUGGCUAGAGUCCGGAAGAGGAGAGUGGAAUUCCUGGUGUAGCGGUGAAAUGCGCAGAUAUCAGGAAGAACACCCGCGGCGAAAGCGGCUCUCUGGGACGGUACUGACGCUGAGACGCGAAAGCGUGGGGAGCGAACAGG